rnacentral:rRNA from 1 species
UACGGGGGGGGCAAGCGUUGUUCGGAAUUACUGGGCGUAAAGGGCUCGUAGGUGGCCAACUAAGUCGGACGUGAAAUCCCUCAGCUUAACUUGGGAACUGCGUCCGAUACUGGAUGGCUUGAGUUUGGGAGAGGGAUGCGGAAUUCCAGGUGUAGCGGUGAAAUGCGUAGAUAUCUGGAGGAACACCGGUGGCGAAGGCGGCAUCCUGGACCAACACUGACACUGAGGAGCGAAAGCCAGGGGAGCAAACGGG